rnacentral:rRNA from 1 species
UACGUAGGGUGCGAGCGUUAAUCGGAAUUACUGGGCGUAAAGCGUGCGCAGGCGGUUUGCUAAGACAGGUGUGAAAUCCCCGGGCUUAACCUGGGAACUGCGCUUGUUACUGGCAAGCUGGAGUGUGGCAGAGGGGGGUGGAAUUCCACGUGUAGCAGUGAAAUGCGUAGAGAUGUGGAGGAACACCGAUGGCGAAGGCAGCCCCCUGGGCUAACACUGACGCUCAUGCACGAAAGCGUGGGGAGCAAACAGG